UACGUAGGGGGCUAGCGUUGUCCGGAAUCAUUGGGCGUAAAGCGUGUGUAGGCGGUCCGGUAAGUCCGCUGUGAAAGUCGGGGGCUCAACCCUCGAAUGCCGGUGGAUACUGUCGGGCUAGAGUACGGAAGAGGCGAGUGGAAUUCCUGGUGUAGCGGUGAAAUGCGCAGAUAUCAGGAGGAACACCAAUUGCGAAGGCAGCUCGCUGGGACGUUACUGACGCUGAGACGCGAAAGCGUGGGGAGCAAACAGG
rnacentral:rRNA from 1 species